UUUGAUGUAGCUGAUCGGUAAAGCAUUGGACGAUUAAUCCAAAGGAGCAGGUUCGACUCCUGCCAUCACAA
rnacentral:tRNA from 1 species